AUUGAACGCUGGCGGCAGGCCUAACACAUGCAAGUCGAGCGGAUGAUGGUAGCUUGCUACCUGAUUCAGCGGCGGACGGGUGAGUAAUGCCUAGGAAUCUGCCUGGUAGUGGGGGACAACGUUUCGAAAGGAACGCUAAUACCGCAUACGACCUACGGGAGAAAGUGGGGGAUCUUCGGGCCUCACGCUAUCAGAUGAGCCUAGGUACGAUUAGCUAGUUGGUGAGGUAAAGGCUCACCAAGGCGACGAUCGUUAACUGGUCUGAGAGGGUGAGCAGUCACACUGGAACUGGGACACGGGCCAGACUCCUACGGGAGGCAGCAGUGGGGAAUAUUGGACAAUUGGCGAAAGGCUGAUCCAGCCAUGCCGCGUGUGUGAAGAAGGUCUUCGGAUUGUAAAGCACUUUAAGUUGGGAGGAAGGGCAGUAAGUUAAUACCUUGCUGUUUUGACGUUACCGACAGAAUAAGCACCGGCUAACUUCGUGCCAGCCGCCGCAGUAA
rnacentral:rRNA from 1 species